GAAGAAAUAUGGGUUUCUAUGACAGUUGGAUAUAGCAAAAUUGAGAUUGGAGGGUGAAAACAAUGUCAUAAAUGCUAAAAAAGCGCGUUUUUUGUAGGAGAAGACGAAAUUUUUUUGGAUUUGAAAUUUUUAUGACAGUUUUUAUAAACAUUUAUUUUCUUUCUUUUCAUACACUUUACAUACUUUUCCUAAAUUUCAUCUUUUUCUCCAAGUACCCACAAAAACCCAAUCUUCUUCCCCUUCCCUAAUUCUUUCAACCUCAAACACUCUUAAACUCCCGUCACUCUCAAUUUCAUUGCAACUUCUUCAAUAACCCUAAUCAUGGCUGAAUGAGGAGGAAACUGCAACGGCUUUGGUAGAGGCUUCAGUAGUAGAGAUCGUGGUGGCGAUCAUGGUUGUGGACGCCAUCGUGUUGGCCGCAGUGACGAAAAGGAGAUUGUGGCUGCGACUGCUAUUCCCGUGGGCACAUUGUUCGUAUGGUUCUUGUUAUUUCGGUGACCUUGUCGUCCAUAUGGUUUCUGCUCCUUGUGGUACUGGUAUUGUUGCUGCUAGGGUUCCUAAGAAGGUGCUUCAAUUCGCUGUGUACAUAGCAAUGGUUAUGAUUACAAUUAGAUGCUAGUGUUAGUAGCAACCUUGGAUGAUUGUCUAGAACCUGAACCUGGAGACAUUGUUUGGGCCAAACAUACUGGUGAUCGCCUGAAGUAUGUAGGGUCUUCUAUAAAUGAUGAAGUUGAUAAGAGGUGACUUAAUAUUUUAUCUAAGUCUUAUCCAUAUUUGUAUUUCGUAGUCUGAUCUAUGGAGACGAAUAUAUUUGGUUAUAUAGUAGUUAAUGUUUUGUAUAUGUUCAAAUGAUGGUUGAAGUUUGGUUCUUGAAGUGAGUCAAUUCAAUAUUGAUAUUUGAUAAUGGAAACUGACAGUGAAUCAAAUGUUAACAGACCCAAACGUUAAAUAUGUAUCCAGAUGAACUAGUUGUGGUCUGUUUA